UGGGGAAUAUUGCACAAUGGGGGAAACCCUGAUGCAGCGACGCCGCGUGAACGAAGAAGGUAUUCGUAUCGUAAAGUUCUGUCCUAUGGGAAGAUAAUGACAGUACCAUAGAAGAAAGCUCCGGCUAAAUACGUGCCAGCAGCCGCGGUAAUACGUAUGGAGCGAGCGUUGUCCGGAAUUAUUGGGCGUAAAGGGUACGCAGGCGGUUUAAUAAGUCGAAUGUUAAAGAUCGGGGCUCAACCCCGUAAAGCAUUGGAAACUGAUAAACUUGAAUAGUGGAGAGGAAAGUGGAAUUCCUAGUGUAGUGGUGAAAUACGUAGAUAUUAGGAGGAAUACCAGUAGCGAAGGCGACUUUCUGGACACAAACUGACGCUGAGGUACGAAAGCGUGGGGAGCAAACAGG
rnacentral:rRNA from 1 species